UGAGGGAUUUUCGGCAAUGGGCGAAAGCCUGACCGAGCGACGCCGCGUGAGCGAAGAAGGCCUUCGGGUCGUAAAGCUCUGUCUAGGGGGACGAGCAAGGACGGUACCCCUGGAGGAAGCCACGGCUAACUACGUGCCAGCAGCCGCGGUAAUACGUAGGUGGCGAGCGUUGUCCGGAAUUACUGGGCGUAAAGGGCGCGCAGGCGGUACGUUAAGUCCAAGGUGAAAUCCCACGGCUCAACUGUGGGGGACCCUGGAUACUGGCGUGCUGGAGUGCGGGAGAGGGAAGCGGAAUUCCACGUGUAACGGUGAAAUGUAUAGAUAUGUGGAGGAACACCGGUGGCGAAGGCGGCUUCCUGGACCGUAACUGACGCUGAGGCGCGAAAGCUGGGGGAGCGAA
rnacentral:rRNA from 1 species